rnacentral:rRNA from 1 species
UACGUAGGGUGCAAGCGUUGUCCGGAAUUAUUGGGCGUAAAGAGCGUGUAGGCGGCCCGAUUAGUCCGCUGUGAAAGUCCAGGGCUCAACCCUGGAAUGCCGGUGGAUACUGUCGGGCUAGAGUCCGGAAGGGGCGAGUGGAAUCCUGGUGUAGCGGUGAAAUGACGCAGAUAUCAGGAGGAACACCAAUGGCGAAGGCAGCUCGCUGGGGACGUGACUGACGCUGAGACGCGAAAGCGUGGGGAGCAAACAGG